CAUGCUGGCAUGCUGGACGCAGAUGAAAGUCACCACAGCCUCACCCAGGGGAGUGCUUAAACAUGGCCGCCUAUUUGAACAAGCUGCACAUGAGGGCUUAUUCUCAAUCAAAGGCCAUGACCCUGCAGUCAUCAGCCAUUUAACCUCUGACCCCUCUGAAGCAGCCUGGACGACUGACUGCCUGCAUGAAUGUCCCAGACACCUUUCAAUCCAGCUGGUUCUGCUCUGCUGAUGGUCUCGUAUUUUGCUAGCCAGUGUGUUCAUUCAGCUAACCUCAUAGUUAACAGGUGCUUGUUUCAAUGCUGCGUUUUUUUCACACCCUCUCUGAAGGCUUUUAUGGUGGUCUGCUAAAGUCACUUAGCAUGCCAAUCGCUAACCGAUGACGUAAAUAAUUCCUUGAGUGAUUCCGUACCAGCAGAGUAUGCCGGCCAUAACUACCCUGCAUUAAGUUUCUCAGACAGCACUUAUAGUUUUUGUCCUUAAAACUUUAUAUUAUUAUAUAAACAUUAUAGUGAAGCUAUUCACAUUGAGUGCCUGGCACAAGUGUGUGACGACAGAGCCACCGCGGAAGUGUAAUCUUCACGUCCAAAGUACGUGUGUCUUUAACUGCUGCCCUACCUGUUUCCUCAAACUUCACUAACGGCCUUUGUUAGCCCUCAUCCAAGCAAAGUGGGACUGUGUGGGAUUCAGGGUUACAGGAAAGAGAAUGGGGGCUGGGAACAAAUAAGAGGGAAAUCAGAAUGAAAGGGAAGAGCAUAUAUAAAAAUACAGGUAGCCAUGAAGCAAAUUUAGUUCAAGGCUUACAACCCACAAAAUGAAUAAACAGAAAUAUAAAAAUGAAAGUGGGCUGGACAAAGUAUCUUUUAUUUUCGUGCUGAGGCAAUAACCUUGGGACAAGUUCAAGUGCUGUGUGAUAAAGUUUUUCUGCUUCUCUCUGUUAUUAACCGAAUAAUUGCAUAUAUCAUCAAUUAUGUUUUCAUUCUAAUGCCUGAAUUUAUUUGGGUGUUUUGAAAAUUUUUAAACACACGGGCUCAAAAAAAAAAAA